rnacentral:lncRNA from 1 species
ACAAUGGUAUGCUUAAACCACAGUCUUGUAAUAAUGAAACUGCAUAAGUGGAGAAGUCGGGUAUAAUGGUAUGCUUAAACCAUCCGAACCCACCACUGUAGGGCCCACGUCUUGUAACUUCCAGUUUAUCUAUUAUCACCUUUAAGAACCAAAAGGGAGCCAUAACGGUUCAAGAUUAUCGAUAGAUUGUUGUUGUAAUAGAAAAAAAUAUGAAACAUCAACGAGCAUGAUGUGUUCUGCACAUUGCUUUUCAUCACCUAACAGCAUCUUCUCCAACUGUGUGUCCUCAUC